ensembl:lncRNA
AUUUUUAUCUUUUUUAAUCUUAUUUUGUUAAAAACAUACAGUAUAUGCCACCUCAUUCAUUCCAACAGAGCAGACCAACACAGAACUGAUGAAAACCCUUUUAUUUCCUUGACACAUGGCAUGCACUCACUCAAAAACAUAAUUUUAACAUUGAACUCAAACAUCUGCUUCUUGUUAGUCAAAAUGAGUAGGCCUACAUUGUGUCUAACUCAGCCUAUGACUCGGUAUGACUAGCUAAUUAACUCAUUUACCUUUCCUUUGCUGUAAACUGGGAGUAAUGGGGCUUGCCUGAGCCACACAUAAGUGGUGCGCCAAAGCAUUGACCUGUUGGAUUCAGUGUAGACACUGAGUGCUCUACCCAGUCAGAUAUGACUGCAGACACACCACCGUCCCCCAUUCCACGCAUUCCAGGAUUUCCCAGAAAGCAUUGCAAGCGAGCCUCAACAAGUCACAUUCUUUACUCUGGGAGAAAUUCACACAGUCAAGUGGCUGAGAUAGCUCUACUCCACCUUAAUAAUACUCACUUCAGUAUGGAUGGAAAUCAAUUACUGUAAAAUAUCUCGUCCCUCCCUAAAGCAAACAGAAUUGCUUUUUAAUUGAAAUUCUUUAACAAUUGACAAAGCCUGACAAAUUAUUGUCAGUAAUAUCACAUCAGUAACAGAACAGGAAUAAACCCACAGUAUUAUUAGGACUGAGCCCCUACUCCUGUUAAUCAAAUAACAGCAGUGGACCAGCAUUGUGUAUCACUGAUCAAGGUGCUUUGGCUUGAGAUCUCCCACACUAAAACUGUUUUCUUUGUCUAGCUAAGAUAUUUUUUGGAGGGAACGGUUUUUGGCAUUUGACUGUUGGCUUAAACGUUCAUUUGAUUUAGUCAUGAUUCAAAAACCAACCUUGAUUCAUAGUGAUUUGAAGCACAACAAUACAUUUGAGGAUGUCCCAACCAACUUCCCCAGCAGUCUGAUCCUUUGAAGGGCUCCCAGAUGAGGCUACACACAGGAGCGCCCCUUAAAUCCCAAUCCCAUCUCACCAUAUCCCAUCCCCCAUCACCACCACCACCAUACACAGAACUGGACCUGCCUCCCUGCAUUCCUCCCAAACACUCCCCUCCCCCUCUGACCUGCCCCACUACAGAGGAUGCUCAAAACAGACCAAGAUCAGCUCUACUUGAAGACAUUUCUUAUUUACUUUGGGAGACCUUACACUUGGGGCUCAAUAACAUUCUGUAAACUGCUUUCUAAACCAUCUAAAGACACAAACAUUUUACCAUUUAUGAGCUAUUUUUAAAAGGACAGCUGUUUUAGAAAACAAAUGUGCCCAGUGUCUUGCCUUUGGCUAUAUUUAUAUUGUUUGUAAGAGUAAUGUAUACAGCUGUUUGAUGGAUGUGGUAUUUACCACUAUACACACUCUAAUUAAGUUAGGAUACUGGAGUGAGCUUUUAAAAACAUUUUACAGUGCUUUUAUGGGCUACUUUUAGAUUAUCCUCUUCUAGGAAAAGCAUACCCUAGCCACAUGUCUAUAGCUCACAAGAGGUCACUACUAUUGAUUUAUGAAUGCUAUCUGAUACAUUUAAAGAAAUACAACUAACACCGUCCAUCCCACCAUACCCUAACCACGAAUUCAGAUA